rnacentral:lncRNA from 1 species
GCGUGAGUUUAGAUCGCAUGGUUGCCGAGUCUUGUAUAAAUACAUUGCAUUGAGUAAUAGAAGUUGAGGCCGUGAGGGCUAUAGGGAAAAUGUAGUCUUUAUGUGCACCAAGGAAGAGUGUUCUGGGCAAAGCCUCGUUGGGUUUCUUCCUUGGAUGUGUGCGUGUGUGUUUUCUGAGUUUCACCAUGUGUGUGUGUGCCUUGUGUGAGACAAAGAGAGUUGAGCUGUGAGAGGCAGCUCAAGGUAGUAGAAGAAGCGGCGCUGCAAGGAGAUUCAGCGCCAACAAUUGGCAUCAGAGCCCUGUCGAUCCGUGGCGGUGACUACGGUACCGGCGGCUAUGGUGGCCGGCGUGGCGGUGGCGGAGGCAACGGCUGCGACGGCGGCGACGCGGUGGACUCCAUGUGAGGUGGAGGACGCCGACGCGAGGUGAUGGCUGGCGGCGGCGCGAUGCCGCUGGUGGCCGGUUGCGGUGCAAUGCUGCGAGGUGAUGAUGGCGUGGUGAUCGGUGUUGCGAAGGCGCCGUCCACGACAAGAGGUGGCCACUGCGUGUGGCAGGACGAUGUGGUGAUGGGCGCCGCGACAGCGUCGUCCUCGGCAAGGAGAAGUCGCUACAUUCGGCAAGUGGUUGUGGGUGAUCCGCGUCGGAGAUUGGAGAAUCAAGAUUAAGGGGGGAAAUGUUAGCUUUAAUCUUGAUGUAUGUAUCUGCAUAUUUAGUUUGCUUUCAUCAUGCAUGUAGGAUAGGUUAGAGAGUAGCUAGUCCGGUCAAGCUUCAGCGAAGAUGUGCGGAGAAGGCGAGAUGCCAGGGCGCCGUGUGAUACGGCGAGUACGGCGAGAUGCUGCAAAGCUGCGCGAGGUGGCACGGCCGUGUGAUGCGGCAAGUACAUGAGAGGCUGGAGCCUGACCGGCUAGACGAGGUGGUUAGAGCUGAGAGAUUCACAGAGUUUGUUAGUUGCUUGGCCGAGUCAUGGCUGUUGGAGCAAUUCCAGGACUGGAUAAGGCCGGUAGUGCGUGUGUUAGUGCCUGCAUGGCUUAGUGGGAUUAGUUGCCGAGAGGGUUGGUGGCUAGUGCGUGCGUGGGUCCUCUUUACUGGCGUGAGUUUAGAUCGCAUGGUUGCCGAGUCUUGUAUAAAUACAUUGCAUUGAGUAAUAGAAGUUGAGGCCGUGAGGGCUAGAGGAAAAAUGUAGUCUUUGUGUGCACCAAGGAAGAGUGUUCUGGGCAAAGCCUCGUUGGGUUUCUUCCUUGGCUGUGUGCGUGUGUGUUUUCUGAGUUUCACCAUGUGUGUGUGUGUGUUCUUGUGUGAGACAAAGAGAGUUGAGCUGUGAGAGGCAGCUCAAGGUAGUAGAAGAAGCGGCGCUGCGAGGAGAGGCGGCGCUAACACACAAGCCCGGAUGUUUCUUAUGUGCUAAGUGUUAGUAUAAGGUACCAAAGUGAUUUAGGAUUGACUCACUCGCAACAAUGAAAAAUAUUCUUAAGUACCGUAGAAAUACUAAAGAUUUUUUCCUUGUUUAGUGAGGCGAUGAAGAGCUCAUUGUAAAUCGUUACACUGAUGCUAGCUUCUUGACUGAUACAG